AGCAGCAGCCGCGGGAAUACGUAGGGUGCGAGCGUUAAUCGGAAUUACUGGGCGUAAAGCGUGCGCAGGCGGUUCGUUAAGACAGAUGUGAAAUCCCCGGGCUUAACCUGGGAACUGCAUUUGUGACUGACGGGCUAGAGUAUGGCAGAGGGGGGUAGAAUUCCACGUGUAGCAGUGAAAUGCGUAGAGAUGUGGAGGAAUACCGAUGGCGAAGGCAGCCCCCUGGGCCAAUACUGACGCUCAUGCACGAAAGCGUGGGGAGCAAACAGGAUUAGAUACCCCCGUAGUCCCUGUCUCUUAUAC
rnacentral:rRNA from 1 species